AAAGAUUUAGUUAAGCUAAAUAACGUUAAUUUGUCAAAUUAAAAUCAAGUAUUCAAUUUUAAUCUUUG
rnacentral:tRNA from 1 species